rnacentral:lncRNA from 1 species
UCUUCUCUCUCCCUUUCUCUCUCCACCGCCCUCUCGUCCUACCGACCGGCGCCGGCAGCGGCCGGAGGCAGAAGAAGAGCGGCCGCGGCGGUGGCGGAGGCGCCGCCGAUGCUCCGGCCACGGGAAGGUAUGAAAGGCACUGCGACCACGGGAUAAUCAAACCAGAACAUCCCAUCCUCUCUGUAUCUCGGCGUCGAUGCACCAAAAAUAGCGCAACAGAAUGGAUCCCCCAAGAACCUGCAAUCGCACUCAAUACUCAAAUACUCAAAAUACUCCCGCGGCGCCAAAAUCAUACUCAAUACUCACGGAAAGAUGUUUCGCAGGGGCGUAGAUGUGGCUUGCCUGAGCUUGCUAGAGAGGAUCGCGGCCCUCGUCUCGCGAGUCCGAUGCGAGUCGUUUCCGGAAAUACUUGCUGCAGAAGGCCUCGGCGAUCUCCGGGUACGUCUCCCUGACGAAAUUCUCCAUGCACUUUAGGUAUGAGAAAUCUUCCCUGGAGCCGUCGCUAGAGACCACGAAGAAGCAUCUAGUCUCCGGGAAACUCUCGGGCUGGCCGACCUGCCAAACGUGCAGCGGGGAAGUCACCGGCAUCAUGCGCUUAAUUCAUACCCAGUCAGCCCGCAGCGAAGAGAUGCACGACUAAUAAUAAUAAUAAUAAUAAUAAUAAUAAUAAUCUCUCUAAUUACCGUCGAACACGAUCUGGAAAAUCUCGAGGAAAAUAUUUGCAGUGAAAGAGGAAAACACAAAGAGUAUAUAUAUAUAGAAAGAAAGAAAAAAUAGGAAUGGGAAGGGUUGUCCCCUGCUGGCCAUACCAUAACGUAGUCGACCUCGCCUGAUACUUUUGAGCCCCCGUCUGGAUGGUACCGGAAUACAUUGUCCAAUAUGUACGACUGAUCAUCCGCAGAGAGCCUGUCACCGUCGCUAUACCUGGAUGAUGUCGAACAAAAUGCACAGCAAGAGUAUCAUUAUCAAAGCCAUUGUAACUCUCACCGCAACGCAUGGGGACCUCCAGACGAAUCAUAUCUCUGGCAGGCAUAUUUCAUUUUCCACUUAUUUUUCUUGCCCUGCUACCCCAAAUUUAUCAC